CUUCUCUCAAUCCCAGCUCUCCCAGGCUGUCUCCAUAGCAGGGUUAUCCCAGCCCUCAGAGCAGCUAAUGUUUCUGCUCAUUUCCAUUUUGCCACUGUAGAAUGCUUUCAGUUUUUUAUUCCCACCCAAGAAAGAUAAUGUUGCCUUUGCUCCUGGUCAGGCACAAUUAAUACUGUGCACUGGUUUUUUUUCAGUCUGACUAUGCUUUCCAAAGGUGCUGAGAGAGACAAUUUCCAAGAAAACAUCACUCCUUUUUUCUUCCAAGAAAACAAGGUACUUGGGAUUCCUGGUUUCCUCUUCUGACUUAGACAUUGAUUCACAGUCUGGCCUUAGGUGCUGUCAGUCAUUAUUUAUGAAUGUAUGGAAGUGUGCCACUGAGUUACACAACCUCUUAGCCUAAUCAGUCCAGAAUUUUCCAUUAUCUGUUCUUCACUGGAAAACUUGGGAAUUAAAAUAAGUUAUGUCUGAUU
rnacentral:lncRNA from 1 species